UGGGGAAUUUUGCACAAUGGGGGAAACCCUGUUGCAGCGACGCCGCGUGAUUUAGAAGGCCUUCGGGUUGUAAAAAUCUUUUCUAUGGGAAGAAAAUGACAGUACCAUAGGAAUAAGGACCGGCUAAUUACGUGCCAGCAGCCGCGGUAAUACGUAAGGUCCGAGCGUUGUCCGGAAUCAUUGGGCGUAAAGGGUACGUAGGCGGGUAAGCAAGUUAGAAGUGAAAUCCUAUAGCUCAACUAUAGUAAGCUUUUAAAACUGCUCAUCUUGAGGUAUGGAAGGGAAAGUGGAAUUCCUAGUGUAGCGGUGAAAUGCGCAGAUAUUAGGAGGAAUACCGGUGGCGAAGGCGACUUUCUGGCCAUAACCUGACGCUGAGGUACGAAAGCGUGGGUAGCAAACAGG
rnacentral:rRNA from 1 species